rnacentral:rRNA from 1 species
UGAGGAUUAUUGGUCAAUGGGCGAGAGCCUGAACCAGCCAAGUAGCGUGCAGGAUGACGGCCCUAUGGGUUGUAAACUGCUUUUAUGUGGGGAUAAAGUGCGUGACGUGUCAUGCAUUGCAGGUACCACAUGAAUAAGGACCGGCUAAUUCCGUGCCAGCAGCCGCGGUAAUACGGAAGGUCCGGGCGUUAUCCGGAUUUAUUGGGUUUAAAGGGAGCGUAGGCUGUCUAUUAAGCGUGUUGUGAAAUAUACCGGCUCAACCGGUGGCUUGCAGCGCGAACUGGUCGACUUGAGUAUGCAGGAAGUAGGCGGAAUUCAUGGUGUAGCGGUGAAAUGCUUAGAUAUCAUGACGAACUCCGAUUGCGCAGGCAGCUUACUGUAGCAUAACUGACGCUGAUGCUCGAAAGUGCGGGUAUCAAACAGG